rnacentral:rRNA from 1 species
UAAGCAUAUCAAUAAGCGGAGGAAAAGAAACCAACAGGGAUUGCCUCAGUAACUGCGAGUGAAGCGGCAAAAGCUCAAAUUUGAAAUCUGGCGCCUUCGGCGUCCGAGUUGUAAUUUGGAGGGGCAUCUUCGGGUUUGGCGCCGUCCUAAGUUCCUUGGAACAGGACGUCACAGAGGGUGAGAAUCCCGUGCCUGGGCGGCAGUCCAAAUCCAUGUGAAGUGUCUCCGACGAGUCGAGUUGUUUGGGAAUGCAGCUCAAAAUGGGUGGUAAAUUUCAUCUAAAGCUAAAUAUUGGCGAGAGACCGAUAGCGCACAAGUAGAGUGAUCGAAAGAUGAAAAGCACUUUGAAAAGAGAGUUAAAAAGUACGUGAAAUUGUUGAAAGGGAAGCGCUUGCGACCAGACUCGGUCUUUGGGGGUCAUCCGGGUUUCGGCUCGGUGCCAUCCCCAUUGAUCGGGCCAGCAUCGGUUCCGGCGGCGGGAUAAAAGGCGAGGGAAUGUGGCUCUCUUCGGGGAGUGUUAUAGCCCUCGUCACAAUGCCGCCAGCUGGGACCGAGGACCGCGCUUCGGCUAGGAUGCUGGCGUAAUGGUCUUAAGCGACCCGUCUUGAAACACGGACCAAGGAGUCUAACAUCUAUGCGAGUGUUCGGGUGGAAAACCCUUGCGCGUAAUGAAAGUGAACGGAGGUGGGAACCCUUCGGGGUGCACCAUCGACCGGUCCUGAUGUCUUCGGAAGGAUCUGAGUAAGAGCAUAGCUGUUGGGACCCGAAAGAUGGUGAACUAUGCCUGAAUAGGGUGAAGCCAGAGGAAACUCUGGUGGAGGCUCGCAGCGGUUCUGACGUGCAAAUCGAUCGUCAAAUUUGGGUAUAGGGGCGAAAGACUAAUCGAACCAUCUAGUAGCUGGUUCCUGCCGAAGUU